rnacentral:sRNA from 1 species
UUUGUGGGCCGUGUCUUGGAGGCUGUGAGCGCUAACCCCGGCCGCUUCCACACCUCGGAGCGGAUCCGAGGGGUCCUGAGCGUCAUCACUGAGGAGCUCCCGGACGUGCCUCUGUACUACACCCUGGACCAGCUGAGCAGCACCAUCCACUGCAACACGCCAAGCCUCCUGCAGUUGCGGUCGGCCCUCCUCCACGCUGACUUCCGGGUCUCACUCUCCCACGCCUGUAAGAACGCUGUGAAGACGGAUGCCCCUGCCUCCGCCCUCUGGGACAUCAUGCGUUGCUGGGUGAGGGCAGGGCUGACCUCAUGCAGGUGGGAGGGCAGGUGGUGGUCACCUGGAGGUCCCUUGGGCCUAGUAUUCCCUAACCUCUGACCUCUGCCCCCAGGAGAAGGAAUGUCCGGUGAAACGGGAGAGACUAUCAGAGACUAGCCCAG